rnacentral:rRNA from 1 species
UACGUAGGGUGCGAGCGUUGUCCGGAAUUAUUGGGCGUAAAGAGCUCGUAGGCGGUCUGUCGCGUCGAAUGUGAAAACCCGGGGCUCAACUCCGGGCUUGCAUUCGAUACGGGCAGACUAGAGUUCGGUAGGGGAGACUGGAAUUCCUGGUGUAGCGGUGAAAUGCGCAGAUAUCAGGAGGAACACCGGUGGCGAAGGCGGGUCUCUGGGCCGAUACUGACGCUGAGGAGCGAAAGCGUGGGGGAGCAAACAGG